UUUUCAAACAGUGUUGUAUUACUAUUGGUGAGUAAGGUGACCAGAAAUCUUGGGGGAAUUGGAGGUAGAAUCGGCAACGCGCUUGCGAUGCUUUUGGUGUUGCAGACGUCUAUAAGCGCUAAUCGCUUACCAUCAGGUGAUACGUACACUUGUUGUCCGACCUAGUUAUGUAACUUUUA